rnacentral:rRNA from 1 species
AUGAACGCUGGCGGCGUGCCUAACACAUGCAAGUCGAACGGGACUAUCAAGUGAUGUUUCGGACUGAACUUUUAGUUAGUGGCGGACGGGUGAGUAACGCGUGGACAACCUGCCUCUCACUGGGGGAUAGCAGCUGGAAACGGCUGGUAAUACCGCAUGCGUUCAAUGUGCCGCAUGACACAUUGAAGAAAGAUUUAUCGGUGAGAGAUGGGUCCGCGUCUGAUUAGCCAGUUGGCGGGGUAACGGCCCACCAAAGCGACGAUCAGUAGCCGGCCUGAGAGGGCGGACGGCCACAUUGGGACUGAGACACGGCCCAGACUCCUACGGGAGGCAGCAGUGGGGGAUAUUGCACAAUGGGCGCAAGCCUGAUGCAGUGACGCCGCCGUGAGUGAAGAAGUAUUUCGGUAUGUAAAGCUCUAUCAGCAGGGAAGAAAGGCCCGCAAGGGAGAUGACGGUACCUGACUAAGAAGCCCCGGCUAACUACGUGCCAGCCGCCGC